GCAAUUUAACACCUUUAGAUAAUAGAAAUGUACUUUUGCACCUUUUUCAAUUUUGUCCUUUUUACUUAAUUAAGCAUGCAAACAUCAAAAUUUAUUAACGAAAUUUUUAUAAAACCUUACAAAUAUACCGUAGGCAUUAAAAUAAUAAUAAAAUAAAUUUUUACUCAUUGAAUUUGUGGUCUCAAAACUACUAUUUCGAUUUCACUAAAAAUGAGUUGUU
rnacentral:lncRNA from 1 species